rnacentral:ncRNA from 1 species
AAUCUGUCAGAAGCGCCAGAACCGCCUAAGAGCGGUUGACGAGGCGGGAGGAGGAUCGAAUGUUCGGCGGAUGCCUCCCCGUCCCCGCUUCCGGACGCAGCCUGUCCGAAAACUUCCGGGCAACCGGAUCGACAGACGGACCGGCGGGAAGCAAA